rnacentral:rRNA from 1 species
AUGCACGCUGGCGGCGUGCCUAAUCCCUGCAAGUCGAGCGAACGGACGAGAAGCUUGCUUCUCUGAUGUUAGCGGCGGACGGGUGAGUAACACGUGGAUAACCUACCUAUAAGACUGGGAUAACUUCGGGAAACCGGAGCUAAUACCGGAUGAUAUUUUGAACCGCAUGGUUCAAAAGUGAAAGACGGUCUUGCUGUCACUUAUAGAUGGAUCCGCGCUGCAUUAGCUAGUUGGUAAGGUAACGGCUUACCAAGGCAACGAUGCAUAGCCGACCUGAGAGGGUGAUCGGCCACACUGGAACUGAGACACGGUCCAGACUCCUACGGGAGGCAGCAGUAGGGAAUCUUCCGCAAUGGGCGAAAGCCUGACGGAGCAACGCCGCGUGAGUGAUGAAGGUCUUCGGAUCGUAAAACUCUGUUAUUAGGGAAGAACAUAUGUGUAAGUAACUGUGCACAUCUUGACGGUACCUAAUCAGAAAGCCACGGCUAACUACGUG